CUUGGACUGGGCAGCCCG
rnacentral:snRNA from 1 species